AUGGGAGGGGAGGAGUAACAAAAGUGAAAACAAAAACUUGAAAGGGAAAACAAUUUCAAAUAGAUUUCAAAUUUUAGUUUUUGUUUUCACUUUUGUUACUCCUCUUUCACAU
rnacentral:miRNA from 1 species